AACGAACGCUGGCGGCAUGCCUAACACAUGCAAGUCGAACGGGACCUCCGGGUCUAGUGGCUCAUGGGUGCGUAACGUGUGGGAACCUGCCUUUAGGCUCGGAAUUCCUCAUAGUAAUUUGAGCUAAUACCGGGUGAUGUCUUCUGAUCCAAGAUUUAUUGUCUUUAUAUGGGCCCGCGUUGGUUUAGCUUGUUGGUGGGGUAAUGGCCUAUCAAGGCGUCGAUACAUAGCUGGUCAGAGAGGAUGAUCAGCGACACUGGGACUGGGACACGGCCCAGACUCCUAGGAGAGGGAGGAGAGGGUGAUAUUGGACAAUGGGCUAGAUGCAGAACCAGCAAGGCCGCUAAAGUGAUGUAGGCGGGAGAGUAGAAAAGCUCUUUUACCCGAGGUGAUAAUGACAGUACCGGGAGAAUAAGCUCCGGCUAACUCCGUG
rnacentral:rRNA from 1 species